rnacentral:rRNA from 1 species
CGUGGCGGCGUGGAUAGGCAUGCAAGUCGAGCGAGAAAGUCCUUCGGGAACUGGACAGCGGCGAAAGGGAGAGUAACGCGUAGAUAUCUACCUCGAGGACCGGGAUAGCGGCGGGAAACUGCCGGUAAUACCGGAUAACAUCUCAGGAUCAAAGGUGUGAUGCCGCCUCGAGAUGAGUCUGCGUCCUAUUAAUGCUUGUUGGUGAGGUAAUGGCUCACCAAGGCGAAGAUGGGUACCGGGUGUGAGAGCAUGGCCCGGCUCACUGGGACUGAGACACUGCCCAGACACCUACGGGUGGCUGCAGUCGAGAAUCUUCGGCAAUGGGCGAAAGCCUGACCGAGCGACGCCGCGUGCGGGAUGAAGGCCCUCGGGUUGUAAACCGCUGUCAGUAGGGAGCAAAUCUCUUGGGGUUAUCCCCUUGAGUUGAGCGAUCUUCAGAGGAAGUACGGGCUAAGUUCGAGCCAGCAGCCGCGGUAAGACGAACCGUACGAACGUUAUUCGGAAUCACUGGGCUUAAAGAGUCCGAAGGCGGCCGUGUANGUGGGAUGUGAAAGCCCUCGUCUCAACC